rnacentral:misc_RNA from 1 species
GAUGAAGAACGUAGCGAAAUGCGAUAAGUAAUGUGAAUUGCAGAAUUCAGUGAAUCAUCGAAUCUUUGAACGCACAUUGCGCCCCUUGGUAUUCCGGGGGGCAUGCCUGUUCGAGCGUCAUUUCAACCCUCAAGCUCUGCUUGGUAUUGGGCACCGUCCUUUGCGGGCGCGCCUCAAAGACCUCGGCGGUGGCGUCUUACCUCAAGCGUAGUAGAAUACACCUCGCUUCGGAGCGUAAGGCGUCGCCCGCCGGACGAACCUUCUGAACUUUUCUCAAGGUUGACCUCGGAUCAGGUAGGGAUACCCGCUGAACUUAAGCAUAUCAAUAAGCGGAGGA